UCAAUACAAAGGAGGAUUCAUAAGAUAAAAGGUUUUGCUCUAUGUUCUCAUCGAAGCAAAUUAAAAUUAACGACAACACUCCGUCUCCAUGUUUAACCUACUGCCAUAAAGAUUUAAGUGCACAACCACCGUUGUAACAAUUGAAUUAACACUGGAGAAAUUCAAGCAAUUUUUUUUCUUAAACAUGGCAGGGAGUGCAUCAUUGUUUAUGAACACAUCACUAAGAUAGUGUGAAUCGCCAAAUGUACAAAUAUUUACUAAAAUAAAAUACAAAACAAACCGUCCUCAUCGAAUAGCAAAAAAAAAAAAGCCUAGCUAACCUAGACCUGCCACAGCACACGAACAAAUGAAUUGAGGCCUAAGGCGCCACGAGUGCUUGCUGGCAGCCACAGCAAUGCUCAAGAGAGCUCGCAACCAAACGAUUGAAGGAGCAACAAUAGAAACAGCCCGUAAACAAAAAACAAAAGAACCAGGUUCUCCAGGGAAGCACCCGAAUAUUGAUAGAAAUUCCCAUAAGGUCCUUUAAAUAUUGAUAAGGUAUUAUCAAUCAUAUGGGCAGGGAAGACCCUCUGUAAAAAAAAAUAUUAAUAAUAAUAAUAAUAAAUAAAUAAAAUGAUAUAUAUAUAUAUAUAUUUGUAAAAUAAAUAAAUAAUAAUAUUAAGCAAUAUUGAAAAUGUAAGCAGCCUUGGCAUGUAUGUACGCAUACACUGACACGAGGAUUCUUGAAGGCUGAAGAAGCUCUCAAGGCUAAUCGCAUGAAGAUCUGUAUGGCCGAAGAGCGAAGACUGGUACACAAAGACUAGCCAAUUAUUCACCGAGAGACAAUGCCACGUGAAGAAAGCAAAGAUUCCUGAAGAUUGAAACUUGUCGGCACUCUCUCGCACUUUUCUAUAUUAUUAGAAGGACACGCGUAUACCCUAGUAGGACACGUGUGCAUGCUACCGUGGGUAAAAAAAGUGAAGGAAGGCUCCCGAAGGCCACUUUACAGCCACCCCUCGCGGCUAUAAAAGGAGACGCUGGGCUCAAGAAGAGAACACAAGAGACGGGAGAGCACGGAGCACUCAAAGCAUCGAGACUCUCCACCAGAGCACCACUUCCUUCGUAGUCUAGCCACCACCACUACUAGUAGAAUAGCCAAGAAGGCGCUUAGUUCGCCAAGAGUUUGAAGGCUGAAGAAGCUCUCAAGGCUAAUCGCAUGAAGAUCUGUAUGGCCGAAGAGCGAAGACUGGUACACAAAGACUAGCCAAUUAUUCACCGAGAGACAAUGCCACGUGAAGAAAGCAAAGAUUCCUGAAGAUUGAAACUUGUCGGCACUCUCUCGCACUUUUCUAUAUUAUUAGAAGGACACGCGUAUACCCUAGGAGGACACGUGUGCAUGCUACCGUGGAUAAAAUAAGUGAAGGAAGGCUCCCGAAGGCCACCUUGCAGCCACCCCUCGCGGCUAUAAAAGGAGACGCUGGGCUCAAGAAGAGAACACAAGAGACGGGAGAGCACGGAGCACUCAAAGCAUCGAGACUCUCCACCAGAGCACCACUUCCUUCAUAGUCUAGCCACCACCACUACUAGUAGAAUAGCCAAGAAGGCGCUUAGUUCGCCAAGAGUUUGAAGGUAAUUUCCUAGUUGUGUGUAAUCCCUUCGGGGCCUCCCGAAAGGGAAAACCAUAUGUAAAUUAUGUUGUUGAAAUGAUGUAGUUUCUUGGUUUCA